rnacentral:rRNA from 1 species
GACAGAGGGUGCAAACGUUGCUCGGAAUCACUGGGCGUAAAGGGCGUGUAGGCGGGAAGGAAAGUCAGAUGUGAAAAUCCCUGGGCUCAACCCAGGAACUGCAUUUGAAACUCCCUUUCUUGAGUGUCGGAGAGGAAAGCGGAAUUCCUGGUGUAGCGGUGAAAUGCGCAGAUAUCAGGAGGAACACCGAUGGCGAAGGCAGGUCUCUGGGCAUUAACUGACGCUGAGGAGCGAAAGCAUGGGGAGCGAACAGG